rnacentral:rRNA from 1 species
UACAGAGGGGGCAAGCGUUGUUCGGAAUUACUGGGCGUAAAGGGCGCGUAGGCGGCCCGCUAAGUCGAAACGUGAAAUCCCCGGGCUCAACCCGGGAACUGCGUCCGAUACUGGUGGGCUUGAAUCCGGGAGAGGGAUGCGGAAUUCCAGGUGUAGCGGUGAAAUGCGUAGAUAUCUGGAGGAACACCGGUGGCGAAGGCGGCAUCCUGGACCGGUAUUGACGCUGAGGCGCGAAAGCCAGGGGAGCAAACGGG